rnacentral:rRNA from 1 species
UACGGGGGGGGCAAGCGUUGUUCGGAAUUAAUGGGCGUAAAGGGCGCGUAGGCGGGUGGACAAGUCUCUCGUGAAAGCCCACGGCUCAACAGUGGAAUUGCGGGAGAUACUGUCUGUCUUGAGUCCGGGAGAGGAGGGUGGAAUUCCCAGUGUAGCGGUGAAAUGCGUAGAUAUUGGGAGGAACACCGGUGGCGAAGGCGGCUCUCUGGACCGGUACUGACGCUGAGGCGCGAAAGCUAGGGGAGCAAACGGG